GACGAACGCUGGCGGCGUGCUUAACACAUGCAAGUCGAACGGAAAGGCCCUGCUUUUGUGGGGUGCUCGAGUGGCGAACGGGUGAGUAACACGUGAGUAACCUGCCCUUGACUUUGGGAUAACUUCAGGAAACUGGGGCUAAUACCGGAUAGGAGCUCCUGCUGCAUGGUGGGGGUUGGAAAGUUUCGGCGGUUGGGGAUGGACUCGCGGCUUAUCAGCUUGUUGGUGGGGUAGUGGCUUACCAAGGCUUUGACGGGUAGCCGGCCUGAGAGGGUGACCGGACACAUUGGGACUGAGAUACGGCCCAGACUCCUACGGGAGGCAGCAGUGGAGAAUAUGGCACAAUGGGCGGAAGCCUGAUGCAGCAACGCCGCGUGCGGGAUGACGGCCUUCGGGUUGUAAACCGCUUUCGCCUGUGACGAAGCGUGAGUGACGGUAAUGGGUAAAGAAGCACCGGCUAACUACGUG
rnacentral:rRNA from 1 species